GGUUAGGUUAGGGUUAGGGAUAGGGAUAGGUUAGAGUUAGGGGUAGGGGUAGGGUUAAGGUUACCUUACCCUUACACUAACCCUACCCCAACCCUUAACCCUUACCGUACC